CUGAGGUUGUGCAAGGGGGAAGCAUUUCCUGUAGACACGGCUGAACUUCCUGUCGGUGUCAGCAGGACGGCCCACCGUGCCGAGUGGGCCACACGGCCCAUUGUCCCGGAGGAUGUGCUCUUGUUUUCCAGGAGAUAUUUGCGUGGUUUUGAAGCCAGACUCUCAGGGGACAGCAGGAAAGUCAGUCUUGCGAAGGGGACCACGCCAAGGUGUAAAUACCACGCGGUCUGCGGGAUCCCAGUGUUGGAGCCCAGAGCACCUGUCACCACUCACGACUUCGCGGUGAUGUCCUCACCGGCAUGAGGCAUCAUCUCCACCAUCUCCAGACGGCCCAGCGGAGCCCCGUCUAGGAGCCGGAGCACGUCGUCAAUCACGGCACAUCGCGGGGCCUGAACAAAACAGCGCGGUCCCCUGGGCCCCCUCACCCAAGAGCUUUUUAACACCUGCUGUUAAAGAUGUCCAUCACAGAAUAAUGGUUCCUGUUUGAGAACCAUGUGGGAACUGGAAACUUAUCACCCCGAUCUUACACGUUUAUCUUUUGUGAUCCACUGCAGUGAAAGGCUGU